rnacentral:misc_RNA from 1 species
AAGUCGUAACAAGGUUUCCGUAGGUGAACCUGCGGAAGGAUCAUUACUGAGUGAGGGUCCUCUGGGCUCGACCUCCAACCCUAUGUUGAAAUACCUCGUUGCUUUGGCGGGCCCGCCCUUGGGGCCGCUGGGGGGCUCAACCCCUGGCCAGUGCCCGCCGACAGCCUACUAUGAAAACUCUUUUGUUAAACAUGAUGUCUGAAUUUCUGAUUAAAUAAAUCAAAACUUUCAACAACGGAUCUCUUGGUUCUG